rnacentral:rRNA from 1 species
GGUGAACUGCGGAAGGAUCAUU